rnacentral:rRNA from 1 species
GACGAACGCUGGCGGCGUGCCUAAUACAUGCAAGUCGAGCGAAGCGGCGGAUGGGUGAGUAACGCGUGGGUAACCUGCCCUUAAGUCUGGGAUACCAUUUGGAAACAGACGCUAAUAUCGGAUACUAAAGGAUGGCCUUGCGAUGCAUUAGCUAGUUGGUAAGUUAACGUCUUACCAAGGCGAUGAUGCAUAGCCGAUGUGAGAGAAUGAUCGGCCACAUUGGGACGGAGACACGGCCCAUAAUCCUACGGGAGGCAGCAGUAGGGAAUCUUCCACAAUGGACGAAAGUCUGAUGGAGAAACGCCGCGUGAGUGAAGAAGGUUUUCGGGUCGUAAAGCUCUGUUGUUGGUGAAGCGGUAAUCAACCAGAAAGUCACGGCUAACUACGUGCCAGCCGCCGCGGUAAUAC